rnacentral:rRNA from 1 species
AGCUCCAAUAGCGUAUAUUAAAGUUGUUGCAGUUAAAAAGCUCGUAGUUGGAUUUCGGGGCGGCCACCCCGGUCCACCGCGAGGUGUGUCACUGGCGUGGCUGCUCUUCUUCGCAGAGACUGCGUGUGCUCUUGACUGAGUGUGCGUAGGAUUUGCGACGUUUACUUUGAAAAAAUUAGAGUGUUCAAAGCAGGCUGAGUGCCUGAAUACAUAAGCAUGGAAUAAUGGAAUAGGACGUCGCUCCUAUUUUGUUGGUUUCUGGGAGCGACGUAAUGAUUAACAGAGAUAGUUGGGGGCAUCCGUACUUCGUUGUCAGAGGUGAAAGUCUUGGAUUUACGAAAGACGAACUACUGCGAAAGCAUUUGCCAAGAGUGUUU